UCCCUCUCAGGGUUGCACAUGGAGAGUUUCUAGUAUUCUACCAGUCAUAACUACAGAAGGGAGAGUCAAGCAGAGGUGUACCCAUUCCAUUCCUAGCAUGGGCAGUAGCUAGUGAGUAGAAGGCAAUCUGCUACAAAU